rnacentral:rRNA from 1 species
CCUACGGGAGGCAGCAGUGGGGAAUAUUGCACAAUGGGGGAAACCCUGAUGCAGCGACGCCGCGUGAGCGAUGAAGUAUUUGGGUAUGGUAAGCCCUAUCAGCAGGGAAGAAAAUGACGGUACCUGACUAAGAAGCCCCGGCUAACUACGUGCCGGCAGCCGCGGUAAUGCGUGGGGGGCAGGCGUUAUACGGAUUUACUGGGGGUAAAGGGAGCGUAGACGGCUGUGCAAGCCCGGUGGGAAAGCCCGGGGCUCAACCCCGGGACUGCAUUUGGAACUGGGUGGCUGGAGUGUCGGAGAGGCAGGCGGAAUGCCUGGUGUAGCGGUGAAAUGCGUAGAUAUUAGGAGGAACCCCAGUGGCGAAGGCGGCCUGCUGGACGAUGACUGACGUUGAGGCACGAAAGCGUGGGGAGCAAACAGGAUUAGAUACCCUGGUAGUC